AUACCAAAAAAAAAAAGUGUGGGUUUAGAGGCACGAUAUGAGAUCGAAUGAGAGGUGAGGCGAGAGAAAAGAGUCUGUAUCAGGUUGAAACCUUUCUUCAAUUCCUGGGUGUUGAAGCCCGGAUUCAAUCGGGUGGGUAAUUCUCAGAUCAAAUCUCCUCCUCGGUUUCUGAGCUGAGGAAUUGAGUCCAUGUUCAUUUGUUGCUCCUGAUAACUUUUUUGAAUUUCAAUUUUCAUUUCUUGGAGUAUCUGGGAUUGGGACUGGUAAGGUUUUUGUUGGUUAUAAAUAUGAUAGCCUUGUUGACUCGCUCCCGUUUCUACGGUGACGGAAAGGGCAAGGUUCUCAGCGAGGAGGAAUGCGCUGCUGAGAACAAAAUGGAGAGAGAGAGGCUGGAGAAGCUGAAGCAGAAGGCUGCCAAACAAAGUAAUUGCUGAUAAGUUACGGAUUCUUACAAUUGAUUACUUUUCCAGCUCUGCAGCUCUCUUUGGUCUUUGCUAUUAUGAAUAAUCAUAAUUGAGUUUACAUGAAAUUGUGGAAUCUUAUGUCUGUCUGGAAAGACAGAUGAUGGGAACAAGGGACCUUGCACUGGGUAGGAGUUUAGAUUUUUCUGACUUUUGGUUCAAUUUAGACUUGAUGGGGUUAAUUUACCUAAACUUUCUUUAUUUUUGGUCUCCCAAA